CGCGAAACCUUUACACUGCACGACAGUCGAUAAGGGGACCCCGAGUGCGAGGGCAUACAGUCCUCGCUUUUGUACACCGUAAGGGGGUGUCCGAAUAAGAGCUGGGCAAGACCGGUGCCAGCCGCCGCGGUAAUACCGGCAGCUCGAGUGAUGACCGCUGUUAUUGGGCCUAAAGCGUCCGUAGCCUGCCAGACGGGUCCGUCGGGAAAUCCACACGCCUAACGUGUGGGCGUCCGGCGGAAACCAGCUGGCUUGGGACCGGAAGACCCAGAGGGUACGUCCGGGGUAGGAGUGAAAUCCCGUAAUCCUGGACGGACCGCCGGUGGCGAAAGCGCUCUGGGAAGACGGAUCCGACGGUGAGGGACGAAAGCUUGGGUCACGAACCGGAUUAGAUACCCGGGUAGUCCAAGCCGUAAACGAUGUCUGCUAGGUGUGACACAGGCUACGAGCCUGUGUUUGUGCCGCAGGGAAGCCGCGAACAGAACCGCCUGGAAGUACGUCCGCAAGGAUGAAACUUAAAGGAAUUGGCGGGGGAGCACUACAACCGGAGGAGCCUGCGGUUUAAUUGGACUCAACGCCGGACAUCUCACCAGCACCGACAACAGUCACGACGGUCAGUUUGACGAACUUACCCGAGCUGUUGAGAGGAGGUGCAUGGCCGCCGUCAGCUCGUACCGUGAGGCGUCCUGUUAAGUCAGGCAACGAGCGAGACCCGCAUCCUUACUUGCCAGCAAACCUUCGGGUGGUUGGGUACAGUAGGGAGACUGCCGCCGCUAAGGCGGAGGAAGGAACGGGCAACGGUAGGUCAGUAUGCCCCGAAUGUGCUGGGCGACACGCGGGCUACAAUGGCCGGGACAGUGGGACGCCACUCCGAGAGGAGGCGCUAAUCUCUCAACCCCGGUCGUAGUUCGGAUUGCGGGCUGAAACUCGCCCGCAUGAAGCUGGAUUCGGUAGUAAUCGCGCCUCAGAAGGGCGCGGUGAAUACGUCCCUGCUCC
rnacentral:rRNA from 1 species